GGGAGCUGGAAUAACAAAGGGAGGUAAUGGGGUAGAUUGGAUACCUCUGGGGUCUUGGAAGAAGCUAUGACUUAUUUACUGUCUACUAUGUGAAAUGACUGGACUCUUCUAUGGACCCAGUGGAGCUCAGACAAGAGUCCAGGCCCUGACACUGCCCCAGAGCAGGGGUGCAGCACCUAUGAGGAUGCCAAGCUCAGGUCAUCGCCCUGCGGCAUCUCAGCCAACUGGGC
rnacentral:lncRNA from 1 species